rnacentral:rRNA from 1 species
UACAGAGGGUGCGAGCGUUAAUCGGAAUUACUGGGCGUAAAGCGUGCGUAGACGGUUAUUUAAGUCGGAUGUGAAAGCCCCGGGCUCAACCUGGGAAUUGCAUUCGAGACUGAAUAGCUAGGGUACGGUAGAGGGAAGCGGAAUUUCCGGUGUAGCGGUGAAAUGCGUAGAUAUCGGAAGGAACAUCAGUGGCGAAAGCGGCUUCCUGGACCAGUACCGACGUUCAGGCACGAAAGCCAGGGGAGCAAACGGG